UAUACACAGCUACCCUCAUGUCAAGUGUCAACAAUUCAUAUUUCACUCUUGAACUCAGCUUGUGUUUUGGUUUGUGUUGCAAAGAUGAUUAAUGAACCCCCCAAAUAUGCUUAUCCAUACCCUCCUCAAGGGCAAGGUUAUUAUCAAGGUCCUCCAGUGAUGGCACCUCCUCAGUAUGCUGCUCCACCUCCUAAAAGAGAACCUAGUUUCCUUGAGGGAUGCCUUGCAGCUAUGUGUUGCUGCUGUCUAUUGGAUGAGUGUUGCUGUGAUCCAGACAUAUUCUGUGUGUUCUAGUGGUGGUGUUGUUGAUUGUGAAGAAGCAUAAUUUUGGUGUUCUUUUUGGUUGUGUGUAAAACAAUAAAGAAAGGUGCUUUAGUGGAUUCUAUAUGCUUGUGUUUAAGGCAUUUCCUUUGUCAUUCUAUAUAUAUUAUUAGUUUGUAAA